CGCGGCCUAUCAGCUUGUUGGAGAGGUAACGGCUCACCAAGGCUUCGACGGGUAGCUGGUCUGAGAGGAUGAUCAGCCACACUGGAACUGAGACACGGUCCAGACUCCUACGGGAGGCAGCAGUGGGGAAUCUUGCACAAUGGGCGCAAGCCUGAUGCAGCGAUGCCGCGUGCGGGAAGAAGGCCUUAGGGUUGUAAACCGCUUUCAGGAGGGAAGAAAAUGACGGUACCUCCAGAAGAAGGUGCGGCCAACUACGUGCCAGCAGCCGCGGUGACACGUAGGCACCAAGCGUUGUCCGGAUUUAUUGGGCGUAAAGAGCUCGUAGGCGGUUCAGUUAGUCGGGUGUGAAAACUCUGGGCUCAACCCAGAGACGCCACCCGAUACUGCUGUGACUAGAGUACGGUAGGGGAGUGGGGAAUUCCUGGUGUAGCGGUGAAAUGCGCAGAUAUCAGGAGGAACACCAGUGGCGAAGGCCCCACUCUGGGCCGUAACUGACGCUGAGGAGCGAAAGCAUGGGUAGCAAACAGGAUUAGAUACCCUGGUAGUCCAUGCCGUAAACGUUGGGCACUAGGUGUGGGUCUCAACCAACGAGAUCCGCGCCGUCGCUAACGCAUUAAGUGCCCCGCCUGGGGAGUACGG
rnacentral:rRNA from 1 species